UACGGGGGGGGGCAAGCGUUGUUCGGAAUUACUGGGCGUAAAGGGCUCGUAGGCGGCCAACUAAGUCAGACGUGAAAUCCCUCGGCUUAACCGGGGAACUGCGUCUGAUACUGGAUGGCUGGAGAUUGGGAGAGGGAUGCGGAAUUCCCGGUGUAGUGGUGAAAUGCGUAGAUAUCGGGAGGAACACCAGUGGCGAAGGCGACUACCUGGCCUGUUCUUGACGCUGAGGCGCGAAAGCUAGGGGAGCAAACGGGG
rnacentral:rRNA from 1 species